CCGCGGUAUCCUGACCGUGUUAAGGUAGCAUAAUCAUUUGCCUUUUAAUUGGUGGCUAGAAUGAAUGGACAAACGAAAAUUUAUCUGUCUCUAUAGGACCAAUAAAAAUUAGCCCCCAGGUGAAGAGACCUGAAUAAUACUAAAAGACAAGAAGACCCUGAAGAGCCUAAUUAUAUUUUUAUUUUAAACAAAUAUUUAUAAAUCUAAACUAUAAAACAUUAAUUUAGUUGGGAAAACUAAGGACCAUCAAAAGAUUCCUUAAUACCAAAUUGGCUCACCCGCCUCUCCAAUUGACCCAUAAUUUGAUCAUCGAAUCUGGCUACCUCAGGGAUAACAGACUAAUUUCCUUCGAGAGCCCAAAUUAACAAGGAAGUUUAGCACCUCGAUGUUGGCUUAGGGAAUCCCAAGGGUGCAGCAGCCCUUAAAGGUAGGUUUGUUCAACCUUUAAAGCCCUACGUGAUCU
rnacentral:rRNA from 1 species